rnacentral:rRNA from 1 species
UACAGAGGGGGCAAGCGUUGUUCGGAAUUACUGGGCGUAAAGGGCGCGUAGGCGGCCUUCAAAGUCGAACGUGAAAUCCCCGGGCUCAACCCGGGAACUGCGUCCGAUACUGGAAGGCUUGAAUCCGGGAGAGGGAUGUGGAAUUCCAGGUGUAGCGGUGAAAUGCGUAGAUAUCUGGAGGAACACCGGUGGCGAAGGCGACAUCCUGGACCGGUAUUGACGCUGAGGCGCGAAAGCCAGGGGAGCAAACGGG